rnacentral:sRNA from 1 species
UUUUCGCCUGAAUAAAAGAGGAUGAGAACCUCCGAAGGAGGGUUGCGCCGAGCGCAGCGAGACAACGUUGCGAAUGCAACGGCCCGAAGGGGGCUUACGCAGUAAGCCUAAUCCUCUCUCGCUGACCA